rnacentral:rRNA from 1 species
UACGGAGGGGGCUAGCGUUGUUCGGAAUUACUGGGCGUAAAGCGCGCGUAGGCGGCUUUGUAAGUUAGAGGUGAAAGCCCGGAGCUCAACUCCGGAACUGCCUUUAAGACUGCAUCGCUAGAAUUGUGGAGAGGUGAGUGGAAUUCCGAGUGUAGAGGUGAAAUUCGUAGAUAUUCGCAAGAACACCGGCGGCGAAGGCGGCCAACUGGUCCGAAACUGACGCUGAGGCGCGAAAGCGUGGGGAGCAAACAGG